ensembl:lncRNA
AAAGAGUAGGACUAGAAGAGGCAAUAUACUGUAUCAAAUUCAUUAUUAUAUUGUGUGAAGUACAGGAUAUAUUUUCUGUGCCUACUUUGAUUAAGUGUGUUAAUUAAAUAAGCAGCUAACCUUAUUGUUGUCAUGGAGACAGCUGGGUUUCUUUGCUGUCAUGACGCCCACAUUGUCCAUGAUGAAACAAUACGCUGGGGUACUCCAGGACUGGAGUUGGGAAAGACUGCUCAAACAUAGGCAAGAUCUUUUGCAUUUAUGCCUAACAUUUCUGCCUAGCAACUUAUGCACAAUACUAAAAUGGCAAAAACAGGAGGCAAGGGACAUUGCAAUUUAGCCUAUUCUCAUUUUGCACAUAUUCAACACUGUCCGUAAAUGAACACUGGUUUUAAUGUCCAGUUGGAAACGCUGUGUAAACGAGGGUUGAAUGGCGGGAACCCGAUUACCAAGAUUUACCACUACCUUUUCCCGGGAUAAAUAACUGCGAGAAACCGAAUGAGGGUGGGGACAGACUGCCCAUCUCAGCAUUGUGACAGUUCUCCCGGUUCUGACCCCCACCUGACUCUGGACUACUUUCCUGCCUGCCUGCCUGAUCAUCCUGCCUGCCCUUCGGUACCUAUUGGAUUCUGAUCUGGUUUUGACCUUUUUCCUGUCCUUGACUUUUCUCUUGCCUACCCCUUUGGAUAAAUAAACAUUCUAAGACUCCUACCAUCUGCCUCCUGUGUGUGCAUCUGGGUCUCCUCUUGUGCCUUGAUACAGAC